AUGCAUUCAAGAGCGCAGUCAGACAAAGACCUGGGAGCAACCACCCUCACGUGCACCGGACCCCCACCAAAGAGUCAGACCCCCCAGCUGAAGAGCAGGAGGAACAGGGAACGCGUAAAGCCGGAGCUUCUGCUGGGGCAGGGAGCCACCCCAUCCCAAGGCAGGCCAGGACAACCCAUGGUCAGCCCGCACUGCACACUCAUACAACAUGCCCGCCAGCCCUUCCAAGGACAAACCAGGGGAAUCGGCAGAAACCAACUGGGAAGGCGGACAGAGGCGACCAGCAGAGGCCCCAGAUGGGACGGUGAUCCUGAGGACCAGGCUGUAGUUGCUGUGAGCAAUGAUGGAAAAAUUGAGGUACCCUGGUAUGCCUAAGGGGCCCCACCUGCUUCUUAGGGGAUACCAUCUACCCCUGUUCAGAUGUUGGAUGGAUUCCCUCACCGCGUGGGAAAGAGCUGCAAGGUCAGGGGUGCAGGAACCCUUGUGGCACCCCCAAUGCCUUGGCAGCAGACACAAUUCGACCCCACCCAAUCUGGGGGGUGGGAGACUGGGAACAGCAUGGCCAUUGCGAUCUCGCAGUAGUGAUAGCAAUGCUAGCACUUUUAACCACAUGCAGGUCAGACAGUCUUACAGAAUGAGAAGGGGGAGUUAGAGGUGCGUAGUUGCGUCCCAGAAAAUGAGGUUGGCUCAAAGUUGGUUAGUGAGAGUAGCAGUGGCGCUUAGAUCCAGGCGGCAAGGGCGUCGGUGGCGCCUAGUGGCGGGCAGCAAGUGCGGGUAGCCCCAGCGGGCCAUAAUGCCACUCUUGUCAGAGAUUGUUUGUUUUUUAAACAUUGUCUUUGUCAAAUGGUAUUAAAAAGAACGUUAUGAUUUUUUUUUUUUUAUUGCUUGCAAUGCAAAUACAUUCUACAUCUGUGUUUUUUGCAUUUAGAGGAAAACCGGCUGGUGACUCUUGGGUAGAUUGUUGUGUUCGCUUCAGGACCGGACACCAUUCCGCCACUGGGAUUCUCCAGUCACCCAACGCUUACAUUCAUUCAUCAGGAAGGGUUUCCAAUAAUUUUCGAGAGGCGAACACACUGGAUGUUUCCCUACGUCUGCCUUUGCACUCCAGGUACUCUGGUUUUGUGGAUCAAAUGGAGUCUGGGAUAAUCCCAUCCCCCACUUUUGGUUUUGUCUAAUUAUUAUAGGUAGCGCAGCAUCGUUUCUUUAUUCUUUUUAUUUCUUCUUUUUCAAGCUUAUACAAACAAUUUGAAAAUUGAGUAUCUUCAGAAAUAUGUGUAUGGCAAUGCUGGUAAAAGAAUACUGGAGUAAAGAGGCCCAAAGAUCAAAUUGCAUCUCAGCAUUUAAAAAAAAUCUGAAUAAUAAUGAGAGUUAAAAAAAAUUUAAUCAUAUUUAUUUCUUUUCUGCUUUCCAGAAAAGCAAGUCCUGAGGGAUUUUUUUUUUAUUUUGUUCCAGAGAUAAAUUAAUGUUCCAGAGAUAAAUUUCAAGUUUAGGAACAUCCUGUUAAUAGAAAUGUUAUAGUUUAAUGCAGUUUUUUUCAACCUUUUCUGAGCCACGGCACACUUUAACCUUAAAAAAAAUCCCGCGGCACACCAGGAUCCAAAAAUUAAAACAAAAAAAACGGAGAAACUCAUAGUCUGUAUUGAUCUACAGCCCCUCCACAUUGCACAUGCAUUUUUGAGAUAAUUGUUGCAGAAAAAGCUGGAAACUGCAGCUGUUUUUUUCUAAAAGAUGCAAUAAAAGUUAAGUUAGAAGAUUUAAAAACAGUUUGAUGUGUGUUCGUUGGUUUCAAGACGUUUAACAGAUCUCCUUGUGCGCUGUCACUUUCACAACCCAAUGUAUCAUGGGAGAUGUAGUGCAUGAAACGGCCGGCGGAGAUCGCUUUUCGGAGCUUCAUUGUUUUGUUCACUUGUUCCACGGUCUGAUACCGGAUUCUGUGGGAAGCUACACCGAUAAAGACGAGCUUUAGCUGGUAUUUUUGUUAGAACUGAGAGACUUUACGAGCUAAAUCGGGACAAGGAACUGAAGACUUUAACCACUUCUGAUUGGUCAGACUGAUGACAUGUGAUUAAGCUUCCCGAGAAUGAUUGGUGGACAGUUAAAGGGGCGGGACUUUUCCAAAAUACAGCCGGUGUGGGUGCCGGAUGUUCUCAGGUUGCCGGAUGUUCUCGGGGUCCUUCGGGGGUCCUUCCAAUGAAUUAUAUCCAAUGAGUUAUAUCACUAGAGGAGAUAUCACGUGGUUCCUCAUGGGAGGAGAGCACCGCCAUCUUGGUGAGGUCAAGUAACUACUGCAGUUCAUGGAUGUGAACACAUUUUUUGCAUAAUAUAAUAUAUUAUAUAUAUAAAUAUAUUAUAUAUAU
rnacentral:lncRNA from 1 species